rfam:Eubacterium ventriosum ATCC 27560 Scfld0219 genomic scaffold, whole genome shotgun sequence.
ACGAGAACCGAGGGAUUGAGAAAAGAAGGCGGAGCAGGCAGGACAGAUUAAAUGUAGCGGAAGGAUAAUAAACCACAAAGGAGUGAAAGAAGCUCCUUAUCCUCGAAAUGGCAGCAGAGGAGAUAGUUUCUAUUUAGAAGCGUCGUGAACGCAAAAGCGGCUUGUUUGUAAUUCCCAGGUGUACGGGCGAUGGGGGCUUAGAGAUAAGCGAAGUACACAUACA